rnacentral:rRNA from 1 species
GACGUAGGGCGCGAGCGUUGUCCGGAUUUAUUGGGCGUAAAGAGCUCUAGGCGGCUUGUUGCGUCGACUGUGAAAACCCGCGGCUUAACUGCGGGCUUGCAGUUGAUACGGGCAGGCUAGAGUUCGGUAGGGGAGACUGGAAUUCCUGGUGUAGCGGUGAAAUGCGCAGAUAUCAGGAGGAACACCAGCGGCGAAGGCGGCGCUCUGGGCCGGAACUGACGCUGAGGAGCGAAAGCGUGGGAGCAACAGG